rnacentral:lncRNA from 1 species
GUAUAGGGACGUCUAGUGACCCACCAGAGGAAUGACACUCAUAAUGAGCAGUGGGGUACAGGGACAUCUAGUGACCCACCAGAGGAAUGACACUCACUCAUAAUGAGCAGUGAGGUACAGGGACGUCUAGUGACCCACCAGAGGAAUGACACUCACUCAUAAUGAGCAGUGAGGUACAGGGACGUCUAGUGACCCACCAGAGGAAUGACACUCACUCAGAAUGAGCAGUGGGGUACAGGGACGUCUAGUGACCCACCAGAGGAAUGACUCCCACUCAUAAUGAGCAGUGAGGUACAGGAACAUCUAGUGACCCACCAGAGGAAUGACACUCACUCAUAAUGAGCAGUGAGGUACAGGGACGUCCAGUGACCCACCAGAGGAAUGACACUCACUCAGAAUGAGCAGUGGGGUACAGGGACGUCUAGUGACCCACCAAAGGAAUUACACUCAUAAUGAGCAGUGAGGUACAGGGACAUCUGGUGACCAGCCAGAGGAAUGACACUCACUCAGAAUGAGCAGUGGGGUACAGGGACAUCUGGUGACCCGCCAGAGGAAUGACACUCACUCAGAAUGAGCAGUGGGGUACAGGGACGUCUAGUGACCCACCAGAGGAAUGACACCCACUCAGAAUUAGCAGUGAGGUACAGGGACGUCUGGUGACCCACCAGAGGAAUGACACUCACUCAGAAUGAGCAGUGAGGUACAGGGAUGUCUAGUGACCCACCAAAGGAAUGACACUCAGAAUGAGCAGUGGGGUACAGGGACGUCUAGUGACCCACCAAAGGAAUGACACUCAUAAUGAGCAGUGAGGUACAGGGACAUCUAGUGACCCACCAAAGGAAUGACACUCAGAAUGAGCAGUGAGGUACAGGGACAUCUAGUGACCCACCAAAGGAAUGACACUCAGAAUGAGCAGUGAGUUACAGGGACAUCUGGUGACCCACCAGAGGAAUGACACCCACUCAGAAUGAGCAGUGGGGUACAGGGACGUCUGGUGACCCACCAGAGGAAUGACACCCACUCAGAAUGAAACCCGACCAAUAAAGAAAGAGAACUCAUGUUGGGUUUAUAUAACUCACAUUUCAAACACAGCCAAAGCGAUCACACAUAAAAAC